GAUAAUAAUUAUUAACAGCUAUAAAAUAAGAAGCGAAAAUACGUUGAAACUCGACUUCUAGAUUCGCGAGACUUUGCAGAGCUUCGAAACUCUCGUGUUUCAAACCUAAUAAAAAGUUGUAGAGGGAGAAUUACAUUGCGAGAUCUGUUAAGGAAUAUCGUAUCCUUGUAAUAGGAUUAUUUCAGCGAGGGAAAUUCCGUGUUGCGUGUAACGCGUUGCAAAGCCAUGAGCUUUCUUUCGGGUUAAUAUACAUAACCGCCUUAUUGAACUUUCCAUCUCACACGUGCAUUUUGCGAUGUAAUUAUCAACACGAGGAGGGUGAUGUAAACUCCCUAGAGUUCAUGUAGGAUAGGGAUUCUUUUCGUUUUACGGGUAGCACGACAGGCUGUGUUUCAUUGUCAGAACGAUCUUCCUUUGUUUUACGGACGGCCAUUUGAAGAAACACGUUCUUCCCAAACGAACGGACAGAGAGUUACAUUAGAGACAGAUAAGGUUUCAGAAUAGUUAUUUAAGAUUUUAAAGACUGAAGAUUUAAGAUUUAAAGACGGAAGGAGAAAUAUUGGUAGCUAAGGACGUUGAAAAUCGAUUCUCGAUUUUCAGACUUUAGAAUCGAUCCCUGAAUUAUCCAAUUAUUGAACCUUAUAAAUCUACUUUCCCUACGCCAUCUUGCUGAAAGUUAACCUACGCGUCGUCAUGAACGAGAACGCGAAACAGUAGAAGAUAGAGAAGAUAUAGAAUCUAUCAGAAGACCAGAAGACGAAAUAUUCUGUAUUUUCCCCCCGGAAUAUCAAGAAGAAAAGUACCAUCAACAAUUAUUCAGUUUACCAAUAGUGAAGAAGGUCGCAAACAGUCUAACCAAGGUAGGCCAAUGUAGAAAUAUUAAACUCACAAUAGAUGACGAGACAGCAACAUUGUAUAUCAAUACGGAUUCAAGCUUCGCAUUCUGAGACAUUGUCUUAGAGGAACCAGAAAUAACUUGCAGAAGAAAAACAAAGACGGAAAUUGACAUGGUAAAACUUCUAGAGACUCUCAGAAAAUGAGAUAAGAGGGAAAUAGAGGAAAUAAACUUCAAUAUAGAACAAUUUGAAGGAACUCGAAAAGCCACAGACUGGAUAUCGGAGCAUGAAGAGGAAUGCAAAAGAUACAAAAUAAAAGGUAAUGAGGAAAAAGUCAAAGGUUUAAGAAAGUAUCUAGGAAAAACAGCAGAAAGAUGGUACCAAAGGAAUCUGCUGAAAGCUGAAGGACACAACUGGGGAGAUUGGAGGAAGCAUUUCUCAAAACUUUUAAUCCUUUGAGUGCUGUGGGCCCAUAUAGGUGUCUGGUGAAAGCUAUCAGUAAGGACUAAGGAUAUAUAUACUUGUUUUCUGUAAGUGACUGGCAUGGACUAAGGACACAUGUAUAGGUUUCUCAAUUGUUCCAAACACCUACGUAGAAGUAAUACUAUUACAUUUGUGUGAAAUAAAUAUAAAUGCAUUCCUUACGGCAUUAAAAAAAAUGCCAAAAGUGUCUCCUUAUUGUUGAAGUGAUCACCACUUGUAAGAAAACUCUACAUAUGGUUUUGUUAGUUUUCUCAAGCACUGAGAUUUUCACAUACAAUUAAAUUAUUAACUUGUGUUCUAUUUACUAAAUUUAGUUUUCUAGUUUAUUACCCAAAUUCUAGUUAAUUGUAAAUUUCAAUGUUUAUAAUAAAUAAUUAAAAAUAAUUAAAAAAUUUCUUCAAUCAUUUAAUAUCGCGCAAAAGAAUUGCUAUAACUUAUAACGAUUUGUGCUUUGAAUAGUCAAUCAAUAGAGUUCAAUCUACCGAAAAAUUAUUUCGUCCAUAGCGAUCGUCAGCGCUAGAUACGCGCCGUAAGUACGGACGGCAUAGGCCGCGAGUAUUCAGCACUCAAAGGUUAAGAGUAAAGGUUGGUCGGUAAUACGAUAUGCUUACAAUUUUAUAUACCUUUCAGGUUCGUUCAUAGAAUAUGCAAUAGAGAAAGGACGACUAAUAUUGGAAGUAAAAGAAGUAAAAAGAAGAAUGCCUGAAGAUGUGAGGGUGCACCUGAUUGUCAUUGGAUUACCUAUCGAAAUCCAAGAUAAAAUCGAAAGAGAAAGUAUACAGUCAACAAAUAACCUAAUGGGAAUUUUGGGACAAUAUGAAGAUUGGAGAAACUGAUUUCAUAAAAAUUAUCCGUGCAGAUCGAUACCCAGUAGUGUCAUCCAAAGAAAUUCGAGUAUGCGAGAAAGAAGAAAAUUAAAUUAAUUUUCACCUCUACUGACUGUCCAUCCUCCAAUGGACUAAACGAGAGGGUAAAUCAGACAUUAGUAAACAGCAUCAGAUGUAAGAUCAAUUAGAAAAAAAAAGAGAAACUGGACAAAAAUCGCAGAAGAAAGCGUAGAAGAGUACAAUAACACCAGAGUGUAAUGGGAUUUGCCCCAAAUCAUUUACUGUAUGGAAAAAUAAUUGAAAUCCUCUCUAAGGGAAUAAUGGAGAAUAUGAAGAAUACUUGUCGAGUGUCACCACAGUGAUAUAGUCUUCACCCACAAUGGAAACAAAGUGAAUAGAAAUAAGCUGGAAGAAAUUAGGAAAGGACCUCUCAAAAUUCUAAGAAGGAUUUCAAACUUCAUAUAUGAAGUGGAUAACGGUAAUCGGAGAUCUGAUGGGAAUUUCUUCCACUCAAGUAAGCUGAUCCCUUAUAGAGAAGAUAAUUAACGAUGAACGUGUGCUGAUAUUUGAUCGUCAUCAAGGAAGCCGUGCUUUGCUGUAAUAUUAAUGAAUCAGCGUAUAUUUAUACUUGGGUAGAUAUUAAAUGAAGAUAAUAUAUAGGAUAAAAUGGAAGAUAAUACUUCAACAGAUAUCACAGAAAUAUAGUAGAAAUAUAGUACGAUAAUUAUGGUAAUAUGGACAUGAUAUAAUGGCUGAAUGGAUUUAAUAUGAUUCUUUUAAUUAAUCGUGACGCUAGGUUUAUCUCUGCAUCGAAUAAUCAAUAGGAACGUGGAUAUGAGGGUAAGGAAAUUAAAAUGGUGCGAGACAAGCGGUAUGUAACUUUAUAAAAUUAAAUCUGCUAAGGAAAAUGUGCAAUUUAACAGAUAAAAUAAUUUAUAAUACACGCAACAUGUUUAUAAAAUUUUUUUUAUGAGACGUAUUCAGAUACAAUACUUUCGUAAGCCCCUGUUUAUUUGACAAGGUCUAUAGCGUAUUCACCGUUCUACUCUUUUUGCUAGAUGCUGAGGGUACUCGAUAAUCGAGUGACUUUCGUGACUUUGAGUGAUUUCACUCAACGUCCAACGAACAGCUCGAAGCCGAAUACCAGGAAUAGUAAGAAAGUAUUUACCAAUCAUUUUAAAAUCCUGGAUAAAUCACGUACAUUUGUUAAAGAUAAACAAAAGAACAGAAUUAAAUAUUCCAGAGCUACAAGAGACUCCGCCCCUUUUUUUUCUUAACAAGCUCUUUACUAUUCGUCAUGAGAAUUUAACAGCAACAAUUUGUGUCUCGCGUGACUUACAAAAUUUUAGUAAUAAGAUCCAACUGUAUAAGAGAGCUCUGGAAUAAUUUAUUUCGGGUUUAUUUGCAUCUUAUUUAAAGGGACAAAGUCCAAAGAGGGACUGAUACUCUCUUUUUUUCCAGUUUCUUCUACACAGAAAGGAGGAGCAAGCUUACCCUUUGUACAAUAAAUAGAAGGAGCUACAUACGUUUUUAAUCGCGAAGAUCGCGGUAAACUUACGAAAUUUGGAAACGUCAAGGGUAUCGUAAGGUUUCUGUGAAUCCUUUUUAUGGAUUCCCGUGAGUCUCGAUUUACUGCCGCUUUUCGUAUUUCUUGUGCGUAUUAAAGGACCUUGCACGACGCAAUCUCAGCGGAAAAUCUUAGCAAUAAAACGUCCAGCUGUUAACCAUAACUGGCAUUGAAAAAUUUGGAAAUGUCGUAAAAGUCCAGAUUGUCGAAGUAACACGUACACGUUGUUCAAGUAACAUCGUAAAAAGCAAUUUAGAGGAGACAAUUAUUAUAAUAGAAUUUCUCGAAUAAUUAGUAUGACGUGUGCCAUGUGAAUAGUCGUGUUUGAUGUGGUAUUAUUAGUUUCCCAUCAAAUUUAACUGUUCUUUUGGCAAUCUACGUAAGAGAUUCAAAGCAAACAAAUCCAUCGACUGUAAGUAUUUAUUAAACAUUUCUAAACUCAAAAUAAAAGAGAGAGAGAGAGAGAGAGAGAGAGAGAAAGAGAGACAGUAAUGACUCGCCACUUUUUAUUUUGUUAAUCUAAAAUAAAUUUAUUCAGCAGUUUACCAAGGCCCUAGUUUGAUGCAAAUGAGAAACGGUAAGUGUUAGCAACACCAUUUCCAAGAAACUUGAGGUACUAUGUCAAACUUAGUUGACACGAGAAGCAACCACUGUACGCUUAACUGACGGUCACGGAAUACAUUACUUCUUGAUACAAUCUUCCUGCUUGAUUUCCCUUUACCUUUGAUUUUCUCCUACCUCUGGAAACCACUUUGGUAUUUAAUAUUAACAUAGUUCUUUAGAUGGAACAACUAGCUCUCUCGAUAAACUUAAAUAUAAAUAGAGAACUUUGUUACGAAUUUAAUUUUAGAACAAUUAGUGGAAUGUUUGUUAAUCUGCAUUCAAAGUGAAUAAAAUUCGCGUUAUGGAAUUAUUCCUUUCAUAAAUAAGCGAGUGGCUGCCGAUUCAGAUAAAUUGAAAAAUUAGUUGCGAAGAAGUAGAAAAUGUUUUUUUAUUCCCGUAGUUUUCUUACGCCAGGCGAAUUAAAAUUAACAGAGUUUUCUUAUCAUGCAGAUUUCUGCAUGUUCAUCUAAUAAACUGGAAAUUUGCCGCAAGCGGCAAGCCACGCCAAUUCGCCGAAACUCUUAUCGAACAAAAUAACUAGAAACUUCUUCCCUCGCUCUAUUUUCCAUACAUGCGCUAGUUUCUCUAUACAUAUUCGUUUUUCCAUUUUUGUUGCAAACGCUUCUUCGCUUCAAUGAUCAUAGGUUGAUAAAUCAAAGGCUUUAUUCGAACUUAUUCCAGUCGAAUUUUUUCCUUAGUUUUAAUCAAAAUUCCCUUCCAUCCGUAUUAAUUUUGUCACGUAUAAGCAGCUGAGUUUAAUUUCGCUCUUCGUGCACGAACUACAAUUCGUGAAAUACAAUUUAUAUGACCAUCAACUCGACGGUCCACAUUUACACGAAUUUUUUCGACCGUAUUUUAAAUGCCAUGAAAUAUCGGACCUAGGCAGAAUAUAAUUUCUAUCAAAUUAUUCGCGUACAUUGCAAUAUUAUUCGCUGUAUUUCUUUGCACACUAUACGUAGUAUCGGGUAAAAUACGAUGGUUCAUGAAAGUGUUCGGAGAAUUAUCAAACCACUUGUACGUGUGUCGUAUAAAACAUUUCGAAACUUUAUUAGCAUUGUAAUGAGACUGUAAUAUUUGAAAAAUUUUAAAUGAAUAUGAAAUCUACUCGCAAUCGUUUUGAGGGGUAGUUUCAUGCAUAUGAAUUUUCUGUUUGAAGAAACAAAGGAUGAUGUCUAAUAUAACGAAAAACGACUGUUCAAAUACGUCGGUGCCUUUUAUGAAGCUCGUAAUCCCUUGCUCGUAAACAUUUUCAGAUUUCUGUCAAAUUUUCCCAAUAUAAUCGCCAGUCUUUCUUUUGAUAUAGGGUUAAUCAAGUUUUAACAUGUUUCGUGCAACACACAUACUAUAUUGAGGAAACUCGUUAAUGGAUAAUUUACAGAAGAAUAUUGUCUCGAAAGCGCGAUGCAAAGAAAAGACAGUGGUUCGACGAUAAUUCAAUACGAAUUACUCGUGAAAAUGGAUACACGUUGUUAAUUUAAAACGACGUUAACAACAUCGUGAUCACACAUUGUCGGACCCAAGGCAUUAAUGUUUAAAAUUAGAAAACCACUUGCAAGUCUGGCUAUAUAUUCGCGUGUUAGAACACUCUGGCCGAGCAAAAAAUGUUUGCCUAUCAAUUAUUCGCCACUUCUUCUGCUGCACGUAUUUGCGUACAUAUAUGUUGCGCUCUAUUUUUUUACCCCGCAUGACAAAAUCUUUUUCGUAUGGUCCAUGAAAAAUCACACUUUUUGUGAACUCAUAAUUGGCAGAUUUCUCGGUCAAGUUGAUCCACAAACACAUAUUUCUUAAAGAUACGUAUACAACAAUUAAAUGUAAACGGAGAUUUGUUUCAUCUUCAGAACACCAUAAAUCAUCUUAAUCUCAAAAUUAUCAUAAAUAUUGGAAAGAAUACUCUACUUUAGUUAUAUCACAUAUUUUUCAAUAUUUGUCUGCAUUUUUGUAUCUUUAAAUUUUUCACAAGUUCGAUGAUUCGUCAUAAACGAAAUAUUUAAUUGUCCUUUUGUAUCCUUCGAUUAUCAAAUUAUUUUCAAUAUUCCGCACUACUUUUUAUUCUAUAUAUUAAUUAUCGUCAAAUCUAAAAGUCUAUCUAAAAAUCUAUCGUCGAGAAUUAUCUCGUAGUUUUUAUUUCGGACCGAUUUUCCGUUAAAAAUUAUUAAAGUAACUCCUCUGUAAGCUGCAAAUGUGCUUGCAAUUAUUUCUAAUGAUAUCAGAAUUUUACGAACGCUUUCGUAUUUGGUCAUCUUGUAAAAUAAAGUCGAACGGACUUAACUCGAUGUGUUCUGUUUAUCGGUAACUCGAUUCGUAAGAGAUUUCGUAAAUAAUACCUUUUGCUCUGUCCUCCUCUUUCCACCGGUGUAGGACUUUGGUCUUCGUAGAUCCGCUCCGCUUAAAUUCGCCGCGUUUCACACGCGUUCAGUUCUGGCAAGUUCACUCGUUACGUUGUCGCAACCCGGUGCUUCGUCGUUUCACGUUCCUUAGACGUUCAAGUCGACGAGAUACUCUUCUUUGGCUUUCAAACAAGAAUCUAUGGAACUAGAAUAUAAGAAAUUAAAAUGAAAAUCAGCCGGCCGUAAAGAAAUUCAGAUUUCCAUGAAAAAAUUCGAAUUUGUUUCUUUAUUUUUACCACUGUGAUAAAAUGGUGGAGAUUAGAAGGAAAUCACUUAGCCGAAAUGUAGAAUAUGAAAUGUCAAAGCUUAUUAAUCUACGUAUUACUUUUCUAACGUUUCUAUCUAUUAUCGUGAUUGCUAUCGUACGUCUAAUACUUUUUAUUAUUAUUACAGGUAAUUAUUACUACAGAUAACUUUUUCAAAUAGGAUGUUUAGAGUAGGUCGUAAUCAUUUAUUGUUACAAGGAGAAAAUCCACCGAUGGAUUCACUUCGAGAUUUCAAUUCGUCGAAAUCGACAGCGCGCCGUAAACUGAAGCGGAACUGGGAUUCGUUGAGGAUCCACGGCUCCCUCGACGCAGUCGCAAAACACGAUGCAUCGUUUUGUCUACUCUUUCUCCUCUUUCGACGCCUGACAUUGGCUGAAGGGCGCGCCCCCUCGAACCACCCGUUUUUUUUUUCAAAUCGUAAUCAAAAACACACCUAUUCGAUCUAGGAAGAAUGUUCACGUUAAUCUAUUUCUCUGUUCAACCUUUUUCUACCAUAUACUACAAUCAACCACCCAAUAUUCCAAUUGUAUUUUUGUCAAAUCAAAUUCGGUAAGCAGAUUCCGUACGACGAAUUUCCUUGUAUACUGAAUGAUGUAAUUUAAUCGGAGUUAAUUAGAAAUUCACGAUAGACAGUCACGUUGAAUUGUGGAUAAAUCAUAACUGAAAUAUCUAAUUAUACAAUCGGUUUAAUUACAUUAUCAUGGAUGCAACAUUCGUGCAAAUGAUAUAAUGAAUUAGGAGUACACAUAAACCGCGCGAGGAUAAAUAUUCCGCGCCAAUUUGGAAUCGCUGAAGAGAGCUCGCGUUCAUAAGUGGCAAUGAUUUCCCGUAGGAAUGCAUCUGUUGCAUUUGGUCGAUCUGGAUUAAAUCAAUACGACGCAACAGUAGUCAAACAGAGGCGUUAUUUAUUUUGCAUCCUCCACCGUAUUUUUCUUUCCCCAUCGUCACCGAUGGUCACUCCGGCGGAUUAGCCACGCCAGGAAUUUCUAGAAUCGACCAGAUUACGACUACGCAGCGCCGCGUUCCUUGUUGCGUUUGCGAAUCCACUUGGAAUUCAAUUAGAAUUCCUAUGGUAAGUGACAACAACCAACAGAUACACAUCGAACCGUGACGCAUACAGUUGUAGAAUUUCAAGUUCCUCGCGCCGAAACGAUUGGUUCAGAAGAAAGAAAAGCACGCUAAUUCUUCAGUCUGCAAGAUUCGAUAGUUACGAUCGCCAGUUGUACGCUGUUAUACCGUGAAUUGUGUACGAACGCGUGACGAAGAUUUCAAGCAUUUUGUGCUGAAAUAAUUGCUAAUCGUACUGCACGAAGAAAAAAGAAAUACGCAAAUUUUUUGAUAUUUGAGUUUCGAUAGUUGUGGAUGGCAAAACGUUUGUAGAUUCAAUAACACGUGGCAAGGAUUUCAAGUUUCUCCUGUCAAAACGAUUGACGACCGAACGACGACGACGACAAAACGAAGGAAGGAAACAAAAUUCCGGCUCUGAGUUUCGUUAGUCGCGAAACGUUCGUAGAUUCGUUAACAUGUGACGAAGGUUUUUAGUUUCUCGCGUAGAAAUAAUUGGCAAAUGUGCCAAAAACAUAAAACUUCGCUAAUUUUUUAGUUUUCGAAUUUCGUUGGUCGCGAUCUUGGGACGUUCGUGAACGAUUCAUUAAUAUGUAACGAGGAUUUCAAGUCUGCCACGUCGAAACGAGUAACACGAAAAAAUAAAAUUCCGCUAAUCUCUUAAUCUUCGAGUUUCGUUGGUUGCGAUCGCAAUUCAUUCGUACACGACUCGUAUUGUGGAUCGAUGGUGAGAUAGGAAAUUGCGUUAAUUUAUAUAUUUGGUUAAUUUAUGCUUUCGUUGGAAAUUUCGUAGCCUUUGCUCGCGAUUAAUCGACAAAUUACUCUAAUAUGCUUCGCUUCUAAAUUACUGUAAAAAUUUCGCCGCAUAUACCAAUGUAAUUUCGGUCUAUCGGGAGUGUCGAUCAAUUUUCCAGCGUGAAUAUAAUUCUGCAAGUGUCGAAUCAUCUACCACGCAGAAAUGGAUUCUGUCGGUAUACAGCUGCUACUGGAGGUCCGUUUGAUCGAUUACGAUAAAAAGACGGACUUUUAAUAAAAUUAUAGAGCCAGGAACAGGAUCCAUUGAAAGGAGAAGAUCUUCGUUCAACAAGCUUCGAGGUAAGCAGAGAUAUUGACUCGCCGUUGUAACAAUUAAUCCUAUUAAUUCUCGAUUUGCUCGAUGGUUCCUUUUCCUCACUGAUACUUGCGAUUUGUCCUUUGUAUCGUGUUCACAAUCGUUUCGUUAAAGUCCUGAUAAAUUUCAGUGUAUUUAAAUUCAACUUUCAACUGUUCAAUUCCAAACGAAAUAUAAACAGAAGAUUCGUGGUUUUUAUAUAUUCAACUCGUUUGAUAGAUAUUUAUUUUAUUCUUUUUAUCUCGGUUUAAAACGUUGAUGUUUUUGUCGUCGGAUUAACCAGAUCAAUUGACAGUGAUACGUAUGUUCACAGAUUCGUGUUUCGUCAUUUCCUGUUUGCCAUCUAUUUUUCCUUUUUUGUGUUCCAUUCAUUUUCUUUUCCAAUUAUAUCGUCUCUACUAAACAAGCAAACAGAAAGGGAGAGGUAGAGAGAGAGAGAGAGAAAGAGAGAGAGAGAGAGAGAUAAUUUUGUGGUAUUUUUGGAACAGUAUCUUCUUCAGGUUAUCCGAAAUUUUACCACCCUUCCUUCUGUCACCAAGUUAUGAUUGACCCUGUUCCAUCCAAACGAAUAAAAUGGGCGCCCCGCAAUCACUGUCAUCUUCAUAACCCACAUGCUUCAGCUACAAAACGAUAGUGGGUGGUCCAGAUUUGCCGCUUAUUUACCAAUCGUUAUGCCAUCCUGUUUGGUUUGGUUAAGUAGGAAGCAAAUAGGGAUACCCUAAGCGGGUUUGGCGUUUCGUUGAAAUUGCUAUAAAGGUAUACACGGUACAGUCUGGUCUCCGUGCCAACGCAAAAGGAAAAUACAGCAUGAAAGGAAAAUACAUUGGUCGAUGAAUGUCCCGAGGGAAGAGGAAUAAGACCCGUCGACGCAAAAUCUUAAUGGAUUUCGUGUCUAUCUCAAAGAAAGCUUCUAAUAAUCGAAUAUACUAAAUACCACUAACAUAAUGAGAUAUCUGAACGUGUUUCAGUGUUUAUAAAAAAAGAAAACAUUUGAUACUUUAUUUUAUGUGCUCAGCAGUUCUAAAGUAUAUAGACUUUAUAAGUAUAUAGACUAGGUAUAUAGACUAAAUAUAUAGAUUAGUAUAUAGAUAUAAAAUGUAUUUUAAUCAAAGAGUUAUUUAAAUGAACCUGCAAGCUUUUUAUUCUUUAUAAUUGCCAUAACUGCGUAUAAUAGGAUAUUACGAUACAAUUACAUUGACAUUUAGAAACCAAUAUGGAAUAAUUAAUAUAAAUUAUUAAUAAUUAUAUAUAAUGAUUAAUGGAAUUAUUAAUUGCAUAUCUGCUACUAUUUUGUAAUUACGUAUCUUCAGAUUUUCCAAUUUGCAAUAUAAAUUAAAUUCAAAAGCGAACUUGGUAUAUCCAAGCUUAAUUUUCCCCUCCGUUUAAAUUUUUUAAAUAUUUGAAAAAUUUCUAAUUAUCGAUAUCUCGUUUACACUGUACAAUUCAUUAUACUAUACGCCCAUGAAAUGAAAGGUUUGAAGUUUUCCCAAUAGAAAUAAAUGUUUGAGGAAGUAUAAUUGUAUGAAACGUUAAGGAUCGAGGAUCUAAAGAGAUCAUUUAAAUGUAUAAUUAUUUAUUGAUUCUACAAGAAACAUAGUUAGUGCUGUUUCCGAUUUUUAAUUUAUUAUUGCGUACAUUUCUGUAAAAUUCUAGUUAAUCAAAAGCGUCCAGAUACUUGUGAAUGGUAGUGUAUGUACUCUAGUAACGAAAAAAAAAAAAAAAAAGAAUAAAGGAAGCUAACAAGGAACGAGGGAAAAAUGAAUCAACGUUUAUUUUAAAUUCUGUAUGGUAACUUUUCAGUGCAGCCGCUCAAAGUUUCCCGCGAUUAAUUUACACGAUGUCGAGUUAGUAGAACUUCGCCGCUGGUUCAAAUCCAUAACUUUCGGUAUGACGGCUGUGGUUUUAUCGCACUCGACGCGACAGUAGUUUGUACGUAGCCUAUCUGUUGGAAAUUACUGAAGAGGAAUUAAAGCAAUCUUGAUGCGUGCAAUGAUUGAAACCUAUGUUAUUAUCGAAGUUAAAAUGUCUCGAUAAUAGUAUUAUGCCAUUUUUCUCUAACGCUAUGAAAAGACGCCUUGUUGUGCUUCAUAGAGGUCGCGCGUACAAAAGAGAAACUAAAAACAUAGGAGUUAAUUGAAACGAAGUAAAACUGGGAAGUGUAUCAAAGAAACCAAAAUCUCGGUAUAUUUUUAAUUAUGUUAAUUGAAGCUAAUUCUAUUAUGAGCUACGAAUGUUUAUGCAUAUUUAUAUUUUUGAUAUAAAUAAAGACAUCAAGUUUAAUUACAGUUUAAUUAAAGAUAAGAUAGCAUUUUUGCAUACUAAUAACUUAUAACAAUAAUAACUUAUAAUGUUACUAGUAAGUUUAAUUAUACAAGGAGACUUUGUAACUGCAUUACAAUGUCUCUAUACAAAUUAAAAUGAUACUAUUUGCUCCGCGCGUUAAGAGUUAUGCAUAGUUACGAAGGAAACAAUUCCGCGGUCAAUUUCGGAAUCAAAGUGACAUGGUAUGUACACGAUACGACCUAUCGGGUUCGAUGAUGCCAUUUUUACGCUACAAUCGAUGCAAUCAAGAGCAUUUAAGUUGACCAGAGCGUCGUUGGAAUACCAAACGAUUCCGUUACCUUAUGCCAACCACUAUCCGUUAAAUCGCAAACGUCGAUUCGUAGUAUUCUGGUCGAAAUGGGACAGACAUUAUGCAAUUCACUCACAGAAUUUUUCGAGGUAUUUGGUUUUUAGCAAUCUUCAUGUAGUUUCCGAUUUUUUUAGAGAAAUUCUUGAUAUUUUGUUUCUUUUAUUGCCAUUGGUUAAUUCGUAAUAGAUAGUUCAACUGACCAGAAAUUUACGAUAUCACAACAUUGUCGCACUUUGCGCGCAAUCACCGUUAUUCCCGAUAUAUGGUAACUGAUGUCCUCUCAUAGAGUCGGGAAUGGUAUUCUAAAAGAAAUUCUGUGUCUGCGCCGUUCUAGUCGUAAUUCGACGAAAGUAUGCAUUUCAAAACAACAAAUGUCAUGAAAGAACAGGUGUUAUUACGGUAACAUUUUCCUCUCAUCGAAUUCCAAUUGAAAAUGUCAAAUUUCUUUGCAUGGCGCUUCCACAGGCAUCCUUUCAGAAGUAUAUCCCUAAUAUUUUUUUUCUAAUUUAGCAGCAAUUGCUAGGCUGGAUUAACGAUAGGUAUUAAACUCAUAAAUAAGACCUUUACUACGGUUCACGGUACGGAUAUUGAAUCCCCUGGUAAAACUUCGAGAAAUAUUGACAAUACGUUUUAUGUCUUUUUAUAGUAUUCCAAUGGAUAUAAUGUCCGUCAUUUUUUUCAAUUUAUGUGUCUUUAGGAACACCGGGAGACCAUGAUAUAUUCCAAAGUGAUUUUAUCCCACAUAUUUUUUCGAAUUUAAUUAAGUGAUACUUUACAUGCAUAGAAAUGGUAUUUUACGAUGGCUUAAUAAAAAUUUCCUUUUGGAACCAUGAAAAAGUAGACGUUCUUUUAAUAUCCAUUUCCUUUGGUUAUAUCACGUAAAUAAGUGCCAUCUAUGCUGCAAUUUCAUCGUAAAAGCAAGCCAAACUUUUCAGUUGAGUAUUCGACGAGAGAGUUGAAGAUAGCUUCCGUUAGCGAACACUACCUCCAUCUGGUGGCCGUUACAUACAUUAUUCCCAACGCGAAUCGAUAAAACCCAGAAUCAGCGCGCUCCAUUAUCCCUCCUGGAUAAGAACAAUCGCACCUUUCUCUACCGCAAGGGUAAAAUACCAACGAUAAAACAUGAAUCUGAAUAUCCCACAUGUCUUCCAUGAAAAGUAAGCUUUGAACGCCAUCUGAUACACGCUUGAUCCAGGAAAAACAAGCGAAAUUUUUGCCAGCUUUUUGUUACUGACAUCUACGAAACGACACACUUUAGCAUUUGCUGGCUGUCCGUAAUUUGUCGAAUAACUUUCGAAUUAACCAUGCAAAUUUUUCGCUCGACGUGAUUUGUGUGCUAGUUUUAAAGUUACUCACUCGUACAGCGAUAAUACCUCAAAAUUGCUCCUCGCUAAGUUUACUUACAAAAUUGCUAUCUCGCCAUACAACAGAUUAAACCGACAGAUCUAUAAUCGGCUUAUGUUUGUACCGUGAUAAAAAAGUUUGCUCGUAUAAUCGGUUAGCCAAACGAACGAGGGCGUAAGGUCCUCGCGGCGCCUGUUUCGCUGUGGAUUCGUUUAGUGCCGCAAGAGAAACAAACAGUUGCUUUUUCCGUCGCAGUAAAUUCAUUCGUUUCACGGAUCACUGUGUAGCUAUGCAUAUAUGGCCAGGUGGGAAAAGCACGAAACUACUUUGAAAUGAUGGACGAGAGACUUCAUCG